GGUUAAGUUAGAAAGGGCGCACGGUGGAUGCCUUGGCACUAGGAGCCGAAGAAGGACGGGACUAACACCGAUAUGCUUUGGGGAGCUGUACGUAAGCGUUGAUCCAGAGAUUUCCGAAUGGGGGAACCCACUAUCUUUAGUCGGAUAGUAUCCUUACGUGAAUACAUAGCGUGAGGAAGGCAGACCCAGGGAACUGAAACAUCUAAGUACCUGGAGGAAGAGAAAGAAAAAUCGAUUUCCUGAGUAGCGGCGAGCGAAACGGAAAGAGCCCAAACCAAGAAGCUUGCUUCUUGGGGUUGUAGGACACUCUAUACGGAGUUACAAAAGAAAGUUAUAAAUGAAGCGGUCUGGAAAGGCCCGCCAAAGACGGUAACAGCCCGGUAGUUGAAAUAGCUUUCCCUCCAGAGUGGAUCCUGAGUACGGCGGAACACGUGAAAUUCCGUCGGAAUCCGGGAGGACCAUCUCCCAAGGCUAAAUACUCCCUA
rnacentral:rRNA from 1 species